UGGAGCAUGUUGGUUUAAAUUCGAUGAUAACGCGAGGAACCUUACCAGGGCUUAAAUGUAGUGGGACAGGUCUAGAGAUAGACUUUUUCUUCGGACUCAUUACAAGGUGCUGCAUGGUUGUCGUCAGCUCGUGCCGUGAGGUGUCAGGUUAAGUCCUAUAACGAGCGCAACCCCUGCCGUUAGUUGCCAGCAAGUAAAGUUGGGGACUCUAACGGGACUGCCGGUGCAAACCGAGAGGAAGGUGGGGAUGACGUCAAAUCAUCACGGCCCUUACGUCCUGGGCUACACACGUGCUACAAUGGCCGGUACAAUGAGCAGCCACGUCGCAAGGCGGAGCGAAUCUAUAAAACCGGUCACAGUUCGGAUCGGGGUCUGCAACUCGACCCCGUGAAGCUGGAAUCGCUAGUAAUCGGAUAUCAGCCAUGAUCCGGUGAAUACGUUCCCGGGCCUUGUACACACCGCCCGUCAAGCCAUGGAAGCCGGGGGUACCUGAAGUCUGUCACCGUAAGGAGCGGCCUAGGGUAAGACCGGUAACUAGGGCUAAGUCGUAACAAGGUAGCCGUAAAGGGCGAAUU
rnacentral:rRNA from 1 species